GACGAACGCUGGCGGCAUGCCUAACACAUGCAAGUCGAACGAGACCUUCGGGUCUAGUUGCGCACGGGUGCGUAACGCGUGGGAACCUGCCCUUAGGUGCGGAAUAACUCCCCGAAAGGGGUGGUAAUACCGGAUAAAGUCUGCGGACCAAAGAUUUAUCGCCUUUGGGUGGGCCCGCGUUGGAUUAGCUAUUUGGUAGGGUAAAAGCCGACCAAGGCGAGGAUCCAUAGCUGGUCUGAGAGGAUGAUCAGCCACACUGGGCCUGAGACACGGCCAAGAAGGAUUCGGGAGGAAGCAGUGGGGAACAUAGGCAAACGGGCGAAAGCCAGAACCAGCACUGCCGGGUGAGUGAUCAAGGCUUAAGGGUUGUAAAGCUCUUUUACCCGGGAUGCUAAGGAGAGAACCGGGAGAAUAAGACCCGGUAAACUCGGU
rnacentral:rRNA from 1 species